UCAUUCAACGCCAAUCUCCUCUUAUUUUGUGUGACAAAAGCCCUCUCCCAGGUCUCUCCCACAUUCACAAAAUGUCUCCUCUCUUCUUUCUUACAAGGAAGGUGGUUUGGAUCAAAUCAAAAAGGAAUAAGUUUGGAUUUCGAAUUCUAUGAGAUAGAGUUUUAGAAAUCCAAAACUCUUUCAAUUUUGCACCGAAUUUAUCCAAAUUUUUUUUGGAAUUUUUGUGGCUUUUAGGGUACAUAUUGUGCAUCCUUU
rnacentral:lncRNA from 1 species